rnacentral:rRNA from 1 species
GACGAACGCUGGCGGCGUGCUUAACACAUGCAAGUCGAGCGGUAAGGCCCUUUCGGGGGUACACGAGCGGCGAACGGGUGAGUAACACGUGGGUGACCUGCCCUCAGCUCUGGGAUAAGCCUGGGAAACCGGGUCUAAUACUGGAUAUGACUCCAUGACGCAUGUUGUGGGGUGGAAAGCCCUGUGCGGCUGAGGAUGGGCCCGCGGCCUAUCAGCUUGUUGGUGGGGUGAUGGCCUACCAAGGCGACGACGGGUAGCCGGCCUGAGAGGGCGACCGGCCACACUGGGACUGAGACACGGCCCAGACUCCUACGGGAGGCAGCAGUGGGGAAUCUUGCGCAAUGGGCGAAAGCCUGACGCAGCGACGCCGCGUGAGGGAUGACGGCCU